ensembl:lncRNA
UGGCGGUGGAGAUGCUGGCGAUGGCACUGGCGGUGGAGAUGCUGGCGAUGGCGGUGGAGAUGCUGGCGAUGGCGGUGGAGAUGCUGGCGAUGGCGGUGGAGAUGCUGGCGAUGGCAGUGGCGGUGGAGAUGCUGGCGAUGGCAGUGGCGAUGCUGGCGAUGGCACUGGCGGUGGAGAUGCUGGUGAGGAGGGGGAUGCAAAGCCCACAGGAACUGAAACUGAUGGUGAUGAAGAGUUUAGUUUAUGUGGGAUGCGGGGUAAUUCCUCAACAUGUAACCUCAAAUGGUCAACAUUUAUUUUGGGGAAUGUUAUACCCCUUUCAUCUACAAGGUCUGCACUUUUGCCUUCCAAUACAGUGAUUGUAUAGGGACCAAUUCAGUUUGCCACCCUUACGUUGUUGGCUCCUUUUAAUUUCCCUCCACACUCUGUCCCCCCCUCUGAAAUUCUUUCUUUGUGCUUUCUUUUGUUUUGUUUAUUGCCUUAUCUUUUCCUGUGAAGCUCUGUUAUUUAUAUGAGCCUCAGUCAAAACCUCACUGAUGGCAAUAGCCGAUUCAGUUAAUUCCUCAAUUGAC